GUCCUUAUAGCUAGAUAGAAUUCUUCACAGCGGUACAUAUUUAUGAUAAGGGGAGUUUCUUGUAGUCUGCUUUUUAACAUUCGGUAAACAUUUCAAGGCAGGUUUUUGCACACUUAAUAAUGUGCAGAUUAUUUUAUAUACUACUGGCUCUAGAAAAAAAUAGUCAUUAUGAAUUUCUGUUUUCAGUGAUGUUUUUAAGUGAGUUUUAAGCUUACUUUAUUAUAUAGAUGGUGUAAGUAGUUUAUACAAAUGAAGACACUCAAGUAAUUUGUGGUAUAUAACUGUAGUAUAAUACAACUAAUAACUGAAGGAAUAAGAACUAAGACUGUAUUUCUCAACUUUGCCAUCAAUCUUCAGGUUUUUUCCAGUAUUUAUAAGAAGAAAUGGCUAAUAAUAGUGCCAGAGAACAUUAAUUCAUCUAAUCAAGGUCACACAUAGUGGGGAUUGAAUCCAGUGCUUGUAUACUGAGCUACAUCCCUGGUCCUUUUUAAGACAGCUUUUUGCUGAGUCACUGAACCAAGUCACUGAGCCGAACUUAAAUUUUCAGCCUUCUUGCUGUAGCCUGCGGGGAUGCUGAGAUUACAGGUGUGUGUCACCACACCAGCAUGUGAGGUGAAAUUUUUGUUUAGUAAAUAAAGAGAAUUUAGUUUAUAAAUAAUCUUAUAUGUGUCAAGAACCAUGAGAGGUCUGAGAUUUUGUACUUAUGCUAACAGGUUAGUCUGCCCUAGUUGUAUAAGCGUUAGCAGAAGGUAUGAGCCUCUUGGGUUAUAGAGACAAAGGAAAGUUUUGCAGUAGCUGUAACCAGGGUAUUGAUUUGCACUUGGUUAUUGUAGGUAGGUUGAAGAGAUAAGGUGAUAGGUGUACACAAGGUAGGUUGAUAUGCCAUAAUGGUGCGCUGUACAGACACUCUUGAAAGGAUAAUUUGGAGUGAAGGGUGAUAAAGGGCACUGUAGGCAAACAGUUCUUUGAAUUUUCACUUAAAACAGAAUUUACUGAGGACAGUGACCACAUGGUGAGUACUUAGUGUUUAUUGAAAUAAAUGAACCUUCAAAAACUAAAUAUUAUAGAAUUAUGUGUCUAUAGAGAUAACCAUUAUCUUAACAUUCUUUCUGUUAUACUUCCAUUAUAUGAACUUUCUUUUUUAUUAGCAUCACUUUAGAAUGUUUUUCUCUUAUUUCUGUGAACUAACAUUCAGAUGGCACAGGGUUGAUUUAAAGUGAAAUUGAAGGGCUGGGGAUUUAGCUCAGCAGCAUAAUGCCUGCCUAGUAAGCGUGUGGUCAUGAGUUUGAUCCCCAGUAUCAAAAAAAUAAAUAAA